UUACUACAUAAAACAUAUAUAUUCAACAUAUCCCCAGAUAGCCUAGAUCUGAGCUCACAUUAUUACCGAAUGGCGCCCAGAUCACAUACAUACAGUUCAAUCGCCAUUGAGCCAAAGUCAUAGGGAAAAUAAAAGGUUUUUAAUGCAGGGCCGUGGUCCAGCGGCAAGAGGUGGGCAACCAGGCUCCUCCAGUGGCCAGUGGUGAGGCUGG